UACGGGGGGAGCAAGCGUUGUUCGGAUUUACUGGGCGUAAAGGGCGCGUAGGCGGCCAGCGCAAGUCAGUUGUGAAAUCUCCGAGCUUAACUCGGAAAGGUCAACUGAUACUGCGCGGCUAGAGUGCAGAAGGGGCAACUGGAAUUCUCGGUGUAGCGGUGAAAUGCGUAGAUAUCGAGAGGAACACCUGCGGCGAAGGCGGGUUGCUGGGCCGACACUGACGCUGAUGCGCGAAAGCCAGGGGAGCGAACGGG
rnacentral:rRNA from 1 species